AGAGUUGAUAUGGCUCAGAACGAACGCUGGCGGCGCGUCUAAGCAUGCAAGUCGAACGGCAAGAGGUAGCAAUACCUCCUAGAGUGGCGGACUGGUGAGUAACACGUGGGUGACAUACCCUUCAGAUGGGGAUAGCUAUUAGAAAUAGUAGAUAAUACCGAAUACGAGCACAGGGGUUAGAGAUCUGUGAGGAAAGGAGCUAAGGCUCCGCUGAAGGAAUGGCCUGCGGCCCAUUAGCUAGUUGGUGAGGUAAGAGCCCACCAAGGCGAUGAUGGGUAUCCGGCCUUAGAGGGUGAACGGACACAUUGGGACUGAGAUACGGCCCAGACUCCUACGGGAGGCAGCAGCUAAGAAUAUUCCGCAAUGGACGAAAGUCUGACGGAGCGACGCCGCCGUGGAUGAAGAAGGCCGGAAGGUUGUAAAAUCCUUUUGAAACUGAAGAAUAAGCGUUGUAGGGAAUGACAGCGUGGUGACAGUAGGUUUUGAAUAAGCAACGGCUAAUUACGUGCCAGCCGCCGC
rnacentral:rRNA from 1 species